CCAACCCCCCACAACCGCCCAAACCCCAUUUUUUUCAACUUCUCUCAUCUCUCUUCCUUCUUCUUCUCCUCCAACUCUUAAAUUUUCUCUUCUCUUCUUCUCCAACUCCUAUCUCUUCCUUCUUCUUCUUCCCAUAACCCAAAACCCCCAUUUGUUUUUAUUCCUUCUUCUUACUCUGUUCCUCUCUCCAAACCCUACCUCUCCACAACCUCCCCCCUAAAGAAAAACGCCCCACCCCCGACCCCUCCACAACCCUCCAAUUCGUCCCCAAGACUCUACGAUAAUCUUCAAGUAAGUUGUUCUAAUUUUUCUUGUAUUUCGUGUACUUUGCUUUAUGUAGUGAUUAAUGUGUAGAAUUCUUUAUUUUGGUUGCAAUGGGGUUUUAAACCCCAAGUUGGGUGUUGUAGAUGGUCUUUGGAGUUUAUUUGUGUGCCUAGCUGACAAUUUUUGUAUGGGGUGAGUGGUGGUAGCACUUAACUGUUAUUAAUUAGUGGGAGCUUGCAUGGGGGUCUUAUAUGGCAGAAUUGUAUCAUUGAUAAGUGGUGUGGGGGCAAUAGUGGAUGUUGUCUACUUUGGCACCUUGCUAGAUGGUUCUACUGGCCAUGCUUGCAAAACAGAAACUAUUUGGUGCCAGCGGGUAACGAAGUCUGAGUACCCAUCCAACUGGCCCAUAUUUGGCUGCCCCUAUCGUCAUGAUGAAUUGCUUGCAGGUACU
rnacentral:lncRNA from 1 species